rnacentral:rRNA from 1 species
UGGGGAGCUCUCCCAUAUGGUCGACCUGCAGGCGGCCGCGAAUUCACUAGUGAUUCGUAUUACCGCGGCUGCUGGCACAGAGUUAGCCGGUGCUUAUUCUGUCGGUAACGUCAAAACAGCAAAGUAUUAAUUUACUGCCCUUCCUCCCAACUUAAAGUGCUUUACAAUCCGAAGACCUUCUUCACACACGCGGCAUGGCUGGAUCAGGCUUUCGCCCAUUGUCCAAUAUUCCCCACUGCUGCCUCCCGUAGGAGUCUGGACCGUGUCUCAGUUCCAGUGUGACUGAUCAUCCUCUCAGACCAGUUACGGAUCGUCGCCUUGGUGAGCCAUUACCCCACCAACUAGCUAAUCCGACCUAGGCUCAUCUGAUAGCGCAAGGCCCGAAGGUCCCCUGCUUUCUCCCGUAGGACGUAUGCGGUAUUAGCGUCCGUUUCCGAACGUUAUCCCCCACUACCAGGCAGAUUCCUAGGCAUUACUCACCCGUCCGCCGCUCUCAAGAGAAGCAAGCUUCUCUCUACCGCUCGACUUGCAUGUGUUAGGCCUGCCGCCAGCGUUCAAUCUGAGCCAUGAUCAAACUCUAAUCGAAUUCCCGCGGCCGCC